CGCUCAACCUCCCCGGCAUCCCCCUUGGCCUCCGCCAGCCUCCCCUCGCCGCCCUAGCCGCCGGGCCAGCCUCGGCCAGCCUUGAAUAGCAAGUGGCCGAGUGGAUAUCCAGCGACUUCGGGCCCGCUUUUGGGCCGUUUCCGGGCCCCAAACCCGAGCCGUGCUUUGGAGUUUGUUGUUCCUUGCGUCGCCCCCGUCGGAUUGAUCUGAUUUGCGCACGAUUCCGGUGAGUAAUCUCGCUAAUCCAUGAUUAGUUGGCUAAUUAUGCUUAAGGGUGGUUUAGUUUUAAUUAAUUAGGUUUAGGUGGUUAGAUUAGUAUGGAUUAGUGUUUAUUAGUCAAUUGUAAUGCGAAUUAGAUAAAUUGAUUGUGCAAUUAGCAAGUAGACGUGGUCUACUAUUUAUUGAAAGUAUCUUGGGAUUUUUUCCAACCCUUAGUGGGCUUCAAUUAGGCUUUUCGGGCCUAAGUGGAAUUUUUAGUAUUUAAAUAUUAAUUUUCGGAAUUAAAUUAAAUAAUUAUUUAUUUUUCGGAAAUUCAACUGGGAUGGCCCGGAACCGGAAUUUUAUGCCGAUGGCUGUGGUGAAGUCCGUUUAUAUAAUUGGGCUUUAUUUUGUGCUAAAUUGAAUUUUUAAUAUUUAUUAAUUAAUUUUCGAAAUUAAUUAUUUAUUUAUUUAUUUUUGGAUAUUAAGAUUUUGAUGGCCGACGACCGAAAUCUCAUGCCGAUUGUCGUGGCGCGGUCCGUUUAUUUAAUUGAGCUUUAAUUUGUAUGGAAUUGAUUUAAUUAUGAAUUUUUAGGAGUUAAUCAUAUUGACUUGAUUGUUAAUUAUUUGAUUGAGAAAUCGUUGGGUAUUGGGUAUCAUUUGAAACGAAAUACGUGGGCUCGGUGAAUUGGAAUAACACCUGAAGAAUUCACGUGAAUUCGGUGAUUGAUUAUGUCAUCUUGGCGAAAAGGUCGCCUAAGAGAAUGCACGUGACUUGGAGACUCGGCAUGUCCUCCUGGAGAAUGCACGUGGCUCGAUGAUAGAGUUUGGCAUCUAAAAGGGCACGUGGCUCGGUGAAUUGAUGCAUCACUUUGGUGAGAUAGCACCUAAAAGAAGGCACGUGGGCUUGGGCAUCGUAAAAAGGACACGUGGCUCGGUGAUCUGAUGUGUCACAUUGGCGAUUGAGUGCCUUAGAGAAUGCACGUGGGUCCAGUGUUCGGAAAUAGCAUUUAAAAGGGCACGUGGCUCAGUGACUUGAUGUAUCACCUUGGCGAAGAGGUCGCCUUAGAGAAUACACGUGGGCCCAAGGUUUGAGGCACGUGGCUCGGAGACUUGGAACGUCAUCCUGGAGAAUGCACGUGGCCUAGCUUUUAGAUACUCCUCCGUGGAGAAUGAUUUGUGUGACAUGUGAUCGAUUAGUUCGAUUUGUUUGGAGUAAAUGGGUGCCUAUUGUAAAUUGUACUGACUUGCAAGUGGGAUCUGAGGCCAAAGUAAGUCCUCUACCCUGUGGGUGUUUAGGCAGCCUAUAGUAUAAUGGUUUACUAAUCGAGCUUAGUGGGGUAGAACUCGAUGAGACGUAGUCUCAUCCCAGUUUAGGGAAAUCAUUUCAAGACCCCGAUGAGGAGUUGAGGAAGAGGAGUCUGGGAAGGAGAUCUCGGAGGUGAAACUUGAGGGGAAUGAUUUUUGAAAGAAGAAGAUAAUACCGAGAGGGGCCAUGAGUACGGCCUGGAUGGACUGAGAUUCUAUCUUCUUUUGAGAUCUCCAUUUUGAUGUGAAUAGAGUCUAGAGUAAAAGUUGUGAAGUGCUCUGGUUUGUGUUUUGUAUAAAAGUUUAGUUAUUAGUUUCAAUAUGAAAAAUAUGGCAUUACUUUUCUAUCCCAUCGUUUUAUUGUCUAGGGAUUUUAACUGCUUCCGCAUGUGCUUAAGAAAUGAAACGGUCGGCGAUACAUAGUAUUGGGAUAUCUCAUUAUAAAAUCGAUCAAGUGAGAAGGAUGUGUGCGUGCCCGAGGAUCGGGGCGUGACAUAUGGGUUGGUUCGGAUCAAUAUUGAAUUAUUACCUCAUGCUCAUUCUAUACUUAUCAGAUUAAUAAAUUGGAGAAUCUAUGCAUAUUUUGAACCCAUAUGAAUUGGGUAUAUUUGGCAUACAAUUGGUGAAUCUAGAAAUAGUCAAUUACCAGUGGGCUUAAUUGUUUUGAUUGAUAAUGAUCCAAGAGAUUCUUAUGGGCCGGCCAUGAUAUGUCUAUGGAUCAAGCGACCAUCGGCUUAUAUCCCCGACUACUAAGGUUUUCUCAAGUAUUCUAGAAUACUCUUAGGGAUGGACGAUACUGUAAAUGUAUUCGUAUGUAAUAAAUACGGUUAAUAGGUAGUUGGGGAGAUGUAAUCUCCACCGUUAAAUUGAGGAGAGAUCUACGGAUACAGUUUGCUUUGUCUUUGUAUAAAUAGGGUCUACUCCCCUUCAUUGUGUCAUCUCAUUCACAAAUGAAAUACAAUCCAGAGCUUUUCUCUCUAAAGUUUUCUCUCUCUAAGAUUCUAGGUGGUACAUUAUUUACUUCAGAUGACAGACUUUUGUUAAUGAUUCCAGAAGUGUAGAAUACUUAACACAUCUAUUCCAUCUUCACAGAGGUCGCCAUGUG
rnacentral:lncRNA from 1 species